GAAUAAGCAUCGGCUAACUCCGUGCCAGCAGCCGCGGUAAUACGGAGGAUGCGAGCGUUAUCCGGAUUUAUUGGGUUUAAAGGGUGCGUAGGCGGCCUGUUAAGUCAGCGGUGAAAUCUAGGGGCUUAACUCCUAAAUUGCCAUUGAUACUGGUGGGCUUGAGUGUAGAUGAGGUAGGCGGAAUGCGUGGUGUAGCGGUGGAAUGCAUAGAUAUCACGCAGAACUCCGAUUGCGAAGGCAGCUUACUAAGGCAUAACUGACACUGAAGCACGAAAGCGUGGGUAUCAAACAGGAUUAGAUACCCUGGUAGUCCACGCAGUAAACGAUGAUAACUGGGCGUAUGCGAUAUACAGUAUGCUCCUAAGCGAAAGCGUUAAGUUAUCCACCUGGGGAGUACGCCGGCAACGGUGAAACUCAAAGGAAUUGACGGGGGCCCGCACAAGCGGAGGAACAUGUGGUUUAAUUCGAUGAUACGCGAGGAACCUUACCCGGGAUUGAAAUGUAGAUGACCGCUCCUGAAAGGGAGUUUUCCUUCGGGACAUCUAUGUAGGUGCUGCAUGGUUGUCGUCAGCUCGUGCCGUGAGGUGUCGGCUUAAGUGCCAUAACGAGCGCAACCCCUGUCUACGGUUGCCAUCAGGUAAUGCUGGGAACUCCGUAGAGACUGCCGUCGUAAGGCGUGAGGAAGGUGGGGAUGACGUCAAAUCAGCACGGCCCUUACAUCCGGGGCGACACACGUGUUACAAUGGUAAGGACAAAGGGCAGCUACCUGGCGACAGGAUGCGAAUCUCUAAACCUUAUCACAGUUCGGAUCGGAGUCUGCAACUCGACUCCGUGAAGCUGGAUUCGCUAGUAAUCGCGCAUCAGCCAUGGCGCGGUGAAUACGUUCCCGGGCCUUGUACACACCGCCCGUCAAGCCAUGGGAGUCUGGAGUACCUAAAGUCCGUAACCGCGAGGGUCGGCCUAGGGUAAUACAGGUGACUGGGGCUAAGUCGUAACAAGGUAGCCGUACCGGAAGGUGCGGCUG
rnacentral:rRNA from 1 species